rnacentral:rRNA from 1 species
CACGUAGGAUGCAAGCGUUAUCCGGAAUGAUUGGGCGUAAAGCGUCCGCAGGUGGCAGUUCAAGUCUGCUGUCAAAGACCGGGGCUUAACUUCGGAAAGGCAGUGGAAACUGAACAGCUAGAGUAUGGUAGGGGCAGAGGGAAUUCCUGGUGUAGCGGUGAAAUGCGUAGAGAUCAGGAAGAACAUCGGUGGCGAAGGCGCUCUGCUGGACCAUAACUGACACUCAGGGACGAAAGCUAGGGGAGCGAAUGGG